AGUAGCAUUUGUUUGUGCAGCACAGGCUCUGGCCAUCAGGGUUUUCCCAGUCCCAGGAGGCCCAUACAAAAGGACUCCCUUUGGAGGACGAACACCUAAUUUCUGGAACCGUUCUUGGUGUGUCAUAGGCAGCACAAUUGCCUCGACAAGUUCUUGAAUCUGUUUCUCCAAGCCUCCAAUAUCAUUGUAGUCUUCAGUUGGCUUUUCAUCAACUUCCAUUGCCUUUACCCGAGAAUCAUAUUCAGAUGGCAAGGUGUCCAAUAUCAAAUAACUGUCUUUAUUUACUCCAACCAGAUCACCAGGUUUUAAGUUGUCAGGAUCAACAAGACCAACAACAGGCAAGAAAAUUGUCUGGCGUGUGGAUGUUUUCAGUACAACACACUUGCCCUUCCUUUGUGAGUCGAGAUCAAUAUUUGCACCAUCCUCCUCAGCUUCUUCUUCAGGAUUCAUUUCCAAAAUCUCAACAAUG
rnacentral:misc_RNA from 1 species